CACGUAUUGAGCCAAAAAAAGAUGGUUAACUCUCAGAAAAAGGUGACCUUCUUCCCUGAUCUCGUGACCUUUUGCCCCAAACGUGUCUCGAUUUAAUACACUUCUCUUUUCCAGUGCCUUUGACACCUAUGGCUGGAUCACACUCGCUUUUAAUGACAUGUUUGCAUAGACAAGAUGGCUGCCACGCCAUGCAUAUGGCUGCGUUCAUGCCAUGUCGGAAUUACCGGAAUUACUAAAUGACAACCAGGACGGUCUAAUCUGAGCUGUUUACAUCCUCGGACUCAUCGUUAUGCGUCUUUCCUUGAUUUUCAACGUGACGGUGGCGAGGAAAAACUCCCUGAGAUGAUAUGAGGAAGAAACCUUGAGAGGAACCGGACUCAGAAGGGAACCCGUCCUCAUCUGGGUAACGACGGAUAGUUCCCAAGGACAUCGCAGCAACCGUAGUCCCAGCAACCAAAGCGAGAACGUCCAUGUGGAACCGAGGUCCAAACCCAUUGCCGUGGUACUUCGAGCGGUCCCAUCCUCAGCAAUCUCCAGGCUGUAGCCUCCAGUUGAUGAGAGCUCCAUCCAGAGGUAGGGCAUCAGGGUGGAUCAAGCAGGUCCGGAGUGCAGAAAGGCUCAGGAUCACUGGCAUCUCUCAAUCAUAAAAUCAUGUGUAGCUCAACAGAAGGAGAGACGGAGAGAGAGGUAAAGAGAGAGAGGGAGAUUAUUAGGUAUGCUUACUAUCCCAUAAAGGAUAAGACUGUGUACUUUGCGUAAAAGAAAGUCUAUUCAUGGUAAGCUUGAGUAAACAAAUACGUUUUCAUCCUAGACAUAAACACAGAGACUGUGUCUGAGUCCUGAACAAUAAUUAGAAGACUGUUCCUUAACUGUGGUGCUCUAUAAGAGAAAGCUCUUCCCCCUGCUGCAGCCUUCGCUAUUCAAGGUACCGACAAAUAGCCUGCGCCUUUUGCUCUAAGUAGGCAUGACGGAUCAUAAAAGACCAAAAUUUCGCUCGGGUACUCUGCCGUGAGACCGUUUAGUCUAGCUUUAAUGGUCAAUAAUAGUAUUUUAUAAUCAGUGCAGGAUUUCACUGGGAGUCAAUGCAGUGUGGAUAAGAUCGGGGUGAUGUGGUCAUACUUUCUGGUUCUAGUAAGGACUCUUGCAGCUGCAUUCCAGACUAACUUGAGCUCAUUUAUGCUUCUACUGGAACAUCCAGGCAGUAAAGCGUUACAAUAAUCCAAUCUAGAGGUCUCAAAAGCAUGAACUAAUAUUUCUGCAUUGUAUAGUGACAUUAUAUUUCUUAUGUUAGCAAUAUUUCUGGGAUAAAAGAAGGCUGUCCUAGUAAUAUUAUCUACAUGAGCGUGAAAUGAAAGACUGGAGUCAAUAAUCACACCGAGGUCUUUAACUGCUGUACAUGAUGAAACGGAAAGACCAUCCAGAGUAAAUAUGUAAUCAGAACGCUUAUGUACACAUAGUCCUAGUACAAGUACUUCUGACCUGUCAGAAUUAAGUAAAAGGAAGUUAAUAAGCAUCCAAUGUCUAAUGUCUUUUAAAAAUUCCUCAACUAGUAAAUGUUUUUGAAGCUCAGAGAACGGUUAGAGUUUUUGAUUGAGACGCAGAUCAUGACAACAAUCAUGACGACGACGGAAAGUUUUAUCAGCGCCCGUCAGUGUGUUUAACAUUGCUGUGCGUUGUGAAAUAGCCGAAAACGUGAUAGUAUGAUAGGCUGUCUUGGCUCUGACACGCCAUCUAGUGGAUGCCGCUUUUAAUCCUCCAGAUGUACAUAAAGUACACAGGCACUUUUGCCUACAUGUGACACUUUUUAAAAUGAUUUCUAUAAAUCUAACUGGGGGUUCUUCUGUGUCCUCUUACGCCAGUAGGUGUAAGAUAAAUUGGCUCUAGGUAUGAAUGUGUGUGUGAAUGGAGCCCAGAGAUAAACUGGCACCCCAUGCAGUGUGUAUUCCCUCCUCAUGACCAGUAUUCCCAUUCUCUAAAUCCACCACAACUAUGAUAGGGAUAGAGGUAACUGAAGAUAGAUGAAUGAUUAAGUGGUAUGAAUUGGUACAAAUUCUACUAAUAUCUGGUCAUACUGUAUCUCACCAUCUCAAUGACGACAAUCAUCACAACCUUAUAUUAGAACAACAUCUGUGUGCUAAUGUAAUCCACAGCUAAACAAGUCACAGAGAGGAUUGGUGUGUGUGCGUGUGUGUGUGUGUGUGUGUGUGUUUUGGGUGUUUACUGAAGACGGGUUUAGGAAGAUCAAGAGCAUCUCAUAAUCUGACCAACAUGCCAGAUUAAUAUAGCAGAUCUGAAUUUGUGUGUGUGUGUGUGUGUGUGUGUGCCUCUUGCUAGUUAAUUUCAAUUCAUCAUGUCUCUGCAGAUUAGCAUCGAAAACAACUCAGCACACAUGACAACCUUGCUAACCUUCACACUAACACACAUUUGGCCAUCUCCCAGAAAUCAAAUCAACAAACAAACUGACCAUUGAGACUUGCCUGAGUGUGUGUGAGUGUGUGUGUGUGUGUGUGUGUGUGUGUGUGUGUGUGUGUACUAGUCUAAGUAUGGGGUUACGUGUACAUGCACAGAAUACAUGUCCCCAGCACCAAUGCUGAAUACAAAAAAAGUAAAUAAACAAAAAAUCUAGGGUUAAGGGGUGAAAAGGUUUAUUUUACAGGACAAACUGAGGAAAUGUCUGUAAUACUGCAUUUUUAGUAUAAAUCAUGGGUGAAAAAAGGGACAGAAAUGUGAUACUUACAAGAAAGUAAGAAAGUAAGAAAGCAGAAGUUUAAAUUACACCUGAAAAAAAGUCAAAAAGUGUCCAUUUUUAUUUGUGUUCGAGCGUUUAAAAGAACUAAGUCGUAGAAGUCUUUAAUAAUCAGGACGUAAAAUUCCUGAUUUAAUCUGUGUGAAAAGUGUAUAAAAGAUAUAGGCGAGGUAGACUGGUAGAGGGAUUAGAAUCCGUCUCUUUUCUUCCAUUUCUUUGUUAGAACGCGGGCUUGUGGAUCACAUUCUUUCAAUGUAUCUUUAAUGUAGAAAGAACAAGUUAUGCGAACCCCACGCUCACGAUGACUAGCAUCAAAGCGACAGGUGACCGUGCGUGAAAUUCAAGCGACUGGUUUGAAUGAGUCGUCGGACUGAGGGUGCGUCUCGAUCGGCUCCCUGAGUCAUGAAUCAGUGUAUGGUGUACACGAGUUGGGGCACUGGUAUAGACCCCGGUUCACUACACAUUGGGACACCGAUGACUCAAUUUCCAGUGAUGUGACUACGUAAUCACGUUGUAAAGCAUCACCGCUGGCAUUUACGGUAUGAACAACAAGCAGGACCGAUAUCUUCCUGACGUUAUAUGUCAUAUAAAUUUGUUAACUUAAUCGCGUUGCGCAACAAUUAAUAGUUUAAUAGUGAAUCCGUUAAUCGGAUUAUAUUUCAUUAUAUGUUAAAUUAUAGUGCUGUUGAAUUCUCACUUCUUGUUGGUCAGAAGCUCUGACAUUACUGGAGCUCCAAAUCACAGAUUUAUAUUAAUGAUAUUAUGCACCGGUUGUAAUAAGUUAUCGUUUCUAUAGUAACAGAUUGCACAAGG
ensembl:lncRNA